rnacentral:misc_RNA from 1 species
GAAGAUUAUGACCUGAUUACAGCUUGCAUAGAAGAAGAAGAAAUGGAUGAUGAAGAGACGAAAUCUUCCAAAAAUUCUGAUAAAUAUCUCAGAGAUAUCGGAUUCAAUUUCAUUGCAGCGGGGAAAGACACAGUCAAUGCAGCUCUAACAUGGUUUUUCUGGCUAAUUGCCACACACCCAUCAGUCGAAGAAAAGAUUAUAGAAGAGAUCAAAGCCAAGUUGCAGAGAAACGAAGAUGGGACAUGGAGGUUUUACAAUCUACAAGAGCUAAGCAAGCUAGUUUAUAUCCAUGGUGCCAUCUGCGAGACCCUUCGGCUAUACCCAGCAGUACCCUUCAACCAUAGAGUAUCAGUGCAAGAAGACACUCUCCCAAGUGGCCACCAUGUGAAAGCAAACGCAAGGGUGAUGUUUUCUUUGUAUUCAAUGGGAACUAUGGAAGAGAUAUGGGGUGAUGAUUGCCUGGAAUUCAAGCCAGAAAGGUGGAUUUCAGAGCGAGGAAGUAUCAUACAUGUUCCAUCUUACAAAUUCAUUGCGUUUAAUACAGGACCAAGAAGCUGUUUAGGUAAGGAUAUAACCUUCAUCCAGAUGAAGAUAAUAGCAACUUCCAUACUCUGGAAUUAUCACGUUAAGCUGGUUGAAGAUCACCCUGUUGCACCUUGUCUUUCUGUGAUGAUGCAUAUGAAACAUGGUUUGAAGGUGAGGAUCUCCAAGAGAGGUGAAUCUUGAACAAAAUCUGGAUCAAGAUUUUAUUGUGCUAGAUACUUAUAUAUCAGCCACAUUGAUAACUAGUAUAAACAAGUGAAGAGACUAAUUACACUUG